CUGGAACUGAAACACGGUCCAGACUCCUACGGGAGGCAGCAGUGGGGAAUUUUGCGCAAUGGGGGAAACCCUGAUCCAGCCAUGCCGCGUGUCUGAAGAAGGCCUUCGGGUUGUAAAGGACUUUUGUCAGGGAGCAAAUACCGCCUGUGAAUAAUGGGUGGGAAUGAGAGUACCUGAAGAAUAAGCACCGGCUAACUACGUGCCAGCAGCCGCGGUAAUACGUAGGGUGCAAGCGUUAAUCGGAAUUACUGGGCGUAAAGCGUGCGCAGGCGGUUUUGCAAGUCUGAUGUGAAAGCCCCGGGCUUAACCUGGGAACGGCAUUGGAGACUGCAAGGCUAGAGUACGUCAGAGGGGGGUAGAAUUCCACGUGUAGCAGUGAAAUGCGUAGAGAUGUGGAGGAAUACCGAUGGCGAAGGCAGCCCCCUGGGAUGAUACUGACGCUCAUGCACGAAAGCGUGGGGAGCAAACAGGAUUAGAUACCCUGGUAGUCCACGCCCUAAACGAUGUCAAUUAGCUGUUGGGGGUUUGAAUCCUUGGUAGCGAAGCUAACGCGUGAAAUUGACCGCCUGGGGGGUACGGCCGCAAGGUUAA
rnacentral:rRNA from 1 species